UAGAGUUUGAUCCUGGCUCAGAUUAAACGCUGGCGGCAUGCCUUACACAUGCAAGUCGAACGGUAGCGCGGGGCAACCUGGCGACGAGUGGCGAACGGGUGAGUAAAGCAUCGGAACGUGCCCUGGAAUGGGGGAUAACGUAGCGAAAGUUACGCUAAUACCGCAUAUUCUGUGAGCAGGAAAGCAGGGGAUCGCAAGACCUUGCGUUCUGGGAGCGGCCGAUGUCGGAUUAGCUAGUUGGUGGGGUAAAAGCCUACCAAGGCGACGAUCCGUAGCGGGUCUGAGAGGAUGAUCCGCCACACUGGGACUGAGACACGGCCCAGACUCCUACGGGAGGCAGCAGUGGGGAAUUUUGGACAAUGGGCGGAAGCCUGAUCCAGCCAUGCCGCGUGAGUGAAGAAGGCCUUCGGGUUGUAAAGCUCUUUCGGUGGGGAAGAAAUUGCACGGAUGAAUACCCUGUGUAGAUGACGGUACCCGACUAAGAAGCUCUAGCGAACUACGUGCCAGCAGCCGCGGUAAUA
rnacentral:rRNA from 1 species